GAGCCGCUUCCGCUUCCUGUGCUGGCUGGCCCGUCAUGGCGGCGCCCAGCGAGGCGCGGGAGCGGCGGCCUUUCGGGCGGCGGCUCCUCACCGACCCAGCCCGGCUUUUCCAGCACAACGCCUGGGAUAAUGUGGAAUGGUCAGAAGAGCAGGAAGCCAGUGCCAGGAGUAAAGUUGAAGAGAACAGCUCACAGCUAUUGCCACAACAUAAACAAGAGGAAUAUGAGGUGAAUGCUAAGAAAUACUGGGACGACUUCUAUAAAACCCAUGAAAAUGGCUUCUUCAAGGACAGGCACUGGCUAUUCACUGAAUUUCCUGAGCUGGCACCUAACAGGAACUCAAGCCAAAAUAGAGAUUCUGUGCAUGGAUUUAGUAACACAGAAGAAUCCAAUAAUGAAGGGUUGGGAAACUGUGGAAAUGGCUAUUGCUCUUUGGAAUCCAGGACAGAGAGUCAGUUAAACCUGAUAAAAAGCCUACCUGGGGGCCACACAGAGGAGUUGGCUGCACAGAAAGAUAGUGAACCGAGUCAGAGUGAUGGGGAUUACCCAGGAUCAGCUGCAUCUUACCGUAUAUUAGAGGUUGGCUGUGGGGCUGGGAAUACAGUCUUCCCGAUUUUACAAACCAACAAUAACCCAGGCCUGUUUAUUUAUUGCUGUGAUUUUUCUACAACAGCUGUGGAUCUUGUCCAGAACAAUGCAGAAUAUGAUACUUCUCGCUGCUUUGCAUUUGUCCAUGACCUGUGCAAUGACCAAAGCCCUUUCCCAAUGCCAGAGGAGAGUCUUGACAUUGUUAUUCUUAUCUUUGUCCUCUCAGCAAUUCUCCCAGAGAAAAUGCAGUGCAUUGUGACCAGACUGAGUCGCCUUCUGAAACCAGGGGGAAUGAUCUUGUUACGAGAUUACGGUCGUUAUGAUCUCGCCCAACUUCGGUUUAAGAAAGGUCAAUGUCUGUCUGAUAACUUCUAUGUGAGAGGUGAUGGCACUAGAGUCUACUUCUUCACACAAGAUGAAUUAGAUCAUCUGUUCACCACAGCUGGGCUGAAGAAAAUCCAGAAUCUGGUUGAUCGGCGAUUGCAAGUGAACCGUGGGAAGCAGAUGACAAUGUAUCGGGUGUGGAUCCAGUGCAAGUACUGCAAACCCACCACACUUCAGCCAUGAGGCAUGUGGACUUUAGGCUGGAGCCUCUUUGUCUCCUCCUGGUGACGUGCGUGAUGCAGUUCUGCACACCCAGGACCUCAGUGCCUUGUACCAUGCCUGGCAUCAGUUCAACUUAUGAAGAUGGUGACAGAAUACGUACUUCUGGUUACAUCCUACAUUUUCACCCAAGACAAGGGGUAAAAAGCUUAGAAAAUGUCUUCGCUGUUUUUGGAGUGCCUGCAGGAGCCCUGGAGAGAUGGGCAAGAAACACCCUGAUUGGGAAGCAUUGGAAGGGCAGUACUUCCUGCUGGGCAUGUGGCAGCAUGAAGAGUUCCUAACUUCCAUGUCACUGUGUCAUCCUGCAGGUAUUGCUUGCAUAUUGCAGGUAUUUGUCUGCUACCUGAAGGCUUCUGGGUCAUGACAUUUCAGCCCUCCCUGGGAAAGGUAACCUGGGAAUCCAUUCACACCACACAGGCUGCAGGGCUAGAGCAACAGAAAUGCACCAUUGCUUUUUUUCUUUUAAAUAGUGUUGAAUCAAGUCAAAUUGGGGGCGGGGGGUUAGAGAAUGGGAGUCAAAUAACUGAGAAGAUAAUUCUUGUUCAGUUGGUUGUAGUGUAUUUUUUAAAGGGCCGAGAACUUUUACAGCAUCUACAAAUGAAACAGGAGGAGAUAAAGCAUGUCUCUUCUGAAGCAAUCUCUGCAGUCGCUGCUGUGUUUUCAUGCUAAACCUAUGAAGUCUGGUUCCCUGGCAAGGCUGGGACCUCAGGCAAGGUCUAGGCAGAGCACAGCUCAAGUCUUGUAGGAUGAGGGGAGCAAGCUGAAGUCUCAGCUUAUCCAAUCACACAACAAGAGCCAUGUGAGCAUUGGACCUGACACGGCUCGUGUAACCACCUCAUUAGCAGACCUCCUGGAUCCUAUUGGGGCCUUAGGUAGUUCCCUAGAGUGCUUUCCCUCUUGGUCCCUGACAACUUUCUCUCAGGAUAACUUUCUCUCCCUGCAAGAAAAAUUAUUGGGGUACACAAUCAGCAUAACUAGUGUGAAUUAAAGUGAUUGGAAAAAUGCCUUAUAAGUCAUCCAAAGGUUUGUAAGCAGUGCAGGAAAAUACAUUUUUAAUUCUAAACAUGAUUUACGUAAAAUUGAUGGACUCCUCUUUAAAUUCUAACUCCUGAAUGGAGAAAAUGAAGGCUUAUUUGUUUGUGCUUUCAAGGCUAUAUCCCAGUUGCCUGGUUUUAACUUGGUCUUCAAGCAAAAACUUGCAGCCCUGUGAGCCUGGAGCCAUUGAAAUGGGUCUUUACCUUUCUUAAUGUUCUUAGUUCUGCUGAAGUAUUUAAGCAGUCGUUCAGCAGGGCCCACGCUGGGCAGAUGUGCUUUUGUUUCCUGUCCUCUUGGUGGUGUUCAGAAGGCAGCAAGUUAAUGGUGUUGAAUUGAGCCAGACCUCCUACAGACAGAUACUGUUUGAGCUUCCUUAACUAAUCCCUGCCAGCUCCUGUUCUCUCCAAAGCUGCUGCUCUCCUGCCACUCCAGGCCUUGCCUCCCAUGCAGCUCUGCUCGGGUACCUUGAUCCUCACCUGCAGCAGCUCCUACCAUUCCCACCUUGGGCCUGCUGAGCAGGCUGGGUUGCUUAAGCUUUCCAGCAUUUUCAAAGGAAGUCUCCAAGUUUACUUUUACCAUGCUGAAAAGACAGGUUAUGUGCCGUUAGUAUUUUGGCGGUUUUCCCCCUCUUCUUAGCAGAGUAGCGUUAACUCUAAAACCUUUCUUAGCAUUUCUGCCCUGGUUUUGUUCCCAGCAUUCCAAGUCUUGUGGUCUGUGGAUUACAGGCAAUGCCAGCAUGGCCCAAUGAACCUCCCAAGCAGAAGAGAUGAUUUCAUAGUUCUUCAUAUGUGCUGCCCCGGUGAUCUUGGAGCCAGGCAUUGUUGCACUUUGGAAAAUUUGGUCCUGUCUCUUGCCAGAAGAUGGUGGAUUUUCUUGGAGAUUCAUAUAAUGUUUUGGCUGGAAGGGAACUUUAUCAUCACCUACUGUGACCCCUCACAUAAUCCUUUUAUUUAGGGAUGACGUCAUCAAGCCUGUGACUUUGAUUUGGACUUGGAGAUAGUCCUUGAGGAAGGACUUUGAUCCAGCCAUGGUACUGACAGCUCCAGUGAAGGGCAAAGAAGCUUUUGCCUCCCCAGGUACAUCAUUCUUCUCAGAACAUUGUGGUUUCACAGACAGGCUAUGAAUUGGGAGGCAGAAGGGGACGAGGGAGGUGACAUGAACGCGUGACUGGGGGGAUUUUUGAUGCUAUUACUUGAAAAUUAGGUAAAUUGUAAAUUCUACUGCAAAUCAGAGCUUUCACAGGAUUUUCCUGACAGCAAGGUGAGAACAGCAGUCAUCCAUAGUGAUUUGGAUUGUUAAAACAGUGGUCAUCAAUUUUUUUUUACCAGGGCCAUGUGAGUAUAGACACAAUUAUCUUCUCUCCCAAAUAAUUCUGCUCUGCCUUCUUCAGGUAUGCCACCACCAUUUCUAAUCUGCAGUGAGUUUUAGAGCUCUGGGAUAAAUGAGACCUGAUUAUUUUCAAUAGAAGAUAGAUGUGAGCAGAGGGAACUUCCCUGUGCACACACCAGCAGCUUAUGGCACGGUAUCAUAACGAAAGCUGGAAGACCUUCUUACUGUCAUUGGUGUUGGGGUGAGUCCUGGCUUGUCCCCACUGGAUUCCCUACAGGAAUUGCAGACCCAAACUGAACUGAACUGUUUUUCCUGAGCACUACUGAAAGAUGCACAGGUUUUACUGCCUAGAAGUGAAGAUGGGGCUGCAGGGAUCAAGUUAUUACAGGAUUUGGGGACCAUCCUUCCAUCUCUAAACACACAUGAAGGGAAACUGAGUCAUACAGUCUUUGUUCUGAUCAGUCUGCAGGAUCUGAUUUUUCAGUCAGAGAAGUGCCACCAUUUUUGGUUUGUUGCUAUAUUGGGGAAAAGAAGUCCAUGAGGGAUGAUGCUACAAUCGGGACCAUUUUUGCUAUUGUAACUAUUCCUUUUCCUUGAUGGGGGUGCCUGGCAUACAUCCUUUUGUGUAGUGUCCCUAGACACUGACUUCAACAGAACUUCUGAUUUUGACUGUUUCAGGGCAAAAUAGAAAUUACCAGAAAAAUUAGGAUUAGGAGGAAUUUUUUGAAGGACCCUACUGCAAAGUGAGGUGCUCUGGAGGAAACGGAGUUGUCAGCUCUGUGCUUAACCAGCAGAGCUCUGGAGUUUGUGCUUUAGCUCUCGCUGAAGGCAGCAAGUUCCUGUGUGUAACUGCCUGGCUGAAAGGGAGCUUGUGUUGCUUAAAAAGUGGGACGCAUUGCAGGAAAUUACCUUUGUAGGCAGCCCUGAGUGCUAAUCUGAACUAAGCAGGAUACAGCAUGAGCCAGAAGAGCACAAACCAGGCUGGACACUUGGCUGGAGCACAGGCAGGGAAAGGCAAUGGAAUCUGAGCCACAUGGGCCUUGGCUUUUCCCUCCUGCUCAGGGAUUGUAUGCAUGGCAGUUGUCAUGCCAGGGAAGGCUUUUAUUCUUCGUCUCUGACCUGCAGUGGGAUGAGCAGGAAAUGGCAGUGGUUGGAAAGCAGUGAUGGCAAAGCUCACUGGCAAGUCUUACAUGUCAGCACCUGCCAGGAGCUCCCAGCCUGUCAGCUGUUUCCAGGAAAGAAGAAAAUUCUGGUGAGGGUUGGACACUGCUGUUCUAAACUCUACUCUUUGGUACAAACCCCAAAAGGCCCUCACUGCAAGCAUCAACAUAGCAUGCAUCUUGAUUUUGGGAUGGAGUGUGACUGCUGUGUUCAGGUUAUCUUUGCUACCCAAAGGACCCUUGUUGCUCUUGCAAUUUCUUAUUAUGUGGAAGUUAGGGAGCUCCAGAGGAUUGCCAAAUCUUUGGAAUAUGAAACUUACUUUCAGCUCCUCUGAAGUGGGUAGUUGCUGCAGGGAGUCCCUGGAUGCAGGGACCAGGCUCACACCUCUGUGCUCUGUGUGGAAUAUGAGGGGUUCUGCUCAGGUGUAAGGAAAGAGGUACCAUUCUUCCCUGAGGUCACUGGAUGUGGCUCUCCUCGUUUGGAGAUUAAAUUGCCUGAUCUCACCUGAGACUCCUUCUUCAUCCCUGGGACCAGGCUCAAAGCAUGCUGCAUAUCCCCCUCACCUGGGGGGCAGUACCUGGGCAGGGCCACCUCACUGCAGUCUGUAAUAACACAGCCACAUGGCUUUUUCCACUUGCAUUGCCGAUGAUGGGUGUGAAGAGGUCAAUGGAGGUUACACAGAAAACUAAAUCUGGCUUUUCUACAGCUGCAAGUGACUUCUUCCCUAGUGCAGUGAGCCUCAUUAGGAAGAUUGGAAUGUAUUUGCAGACACUGAAUAUACUCUAAAAAAAGUGUAUGCAGUACCUCAGGCUUUACAAUAAGAUGUUGACUUAAUUUUCCUCUUUCCAGUGGAUAUUUCCAGAACUGUGUGCUGUGGGAUCGCAGAGGUGUUCUUUUCCUGCCUGUGAGGUUUGGUUCCCCUCAGCUGGGCCAUGGCAGCUGCACAGUUCCACGUGGCUGCACACAGCUGCCUUCCUCCUCCAGCAGCAGGACACACGUUGCCUUGGAUCAGGGCUCUGAGGCUGCCCAUGGCUUGCUGCUUCUAUGGAGGCUGAGUGACCUGGAUGCUUUCCUACGGGGUUUGGGUAUCAAAGCAUCCCUAGUGGGAUACCUGAAGAUGUAGGCAGAGGGAAGGGCAGGAACAACCUCAGAGAUAAACUCCAUUAUGUGGGAGGGUGGAGACUCUCACAAUGACCUCAGGAAGGAGUUGGGCAAUGGCAUGUUAUCUUUGAUGCGCUCAAAUACCGGUUUUCUCCCUAAGAAAAAUGAGGAAAGACACUUUCAAUGUUCCUAGUGUGGCAGAAGCCCUACCCUUAGUAGACAAGAAUCCACACAAGGGUGACAUGUUUUGAAUGCCCCAAGCCUAGAAAAAUCUUCACUAGCAGCUUAUGCCUCAUUAGGUCUAACAAAAUCUGCUAUGCAGACAAGGGUCAGCCUCUUCAGGAUGUGAUGGCUGGAGGUGACAUUAUCCCCUAGUGCUAAAAUCUUUAAAAUCCUAUUGAGUGUUGUACUUCUGUGGGUUUUGGUUGAGGCUUUUUUUCCCCCAGUGCUGUAAUACGUUUGGAUUUGAGAUCACUCCUGUCAGCUUUUGCAUUUUAAAAGUUCAGGCUAUUUGUUGUUUUUCUCCAGUCCCCAGCUGCCGGUGUCCCAGUAUCACUGAAGAAUCUCAGCUCUUCUUUUGUGUACCUUAUAUUAGUAGAUUUACAGACCUUGUGGCAGUACAGAAAUGCUUGGGAAAAUGCAGUUACUGUAUUCCACAAGCCUGGAAAGCAGAGGCAAAGAAAAGUCACCAAAAACACAUUUAAAAUAUUAGAAUCUUGGCUUGUCACAUUUUAUCUUUUCAAAAUUGAAGGCAGAAGGAGCUUGUUAUGUGCUCCAUUACAAUCCCUAUAAAAUCUUACCCAAUUUUGGUCUAACCUAACCUGUGGAUUAGUAGAGGCUAUGGUGGGAAGGCAGGGCUUGCUGCUGUUUUGCUGUAUGUGCUGUGCCUGUGGAGGGGAGCUCCAAGCUCCGGUUGAAUCCAGUGACAAAGAAAAUGGCUGUGGCAGCUGAGUUGUUCUUCAAAACAUGAUACAAGUGCUGUGUGCUUGGGAUAUUACUGCUAUCCAAGGAGACUGAGACUAGAAGAGAGGAGCUACUACAGCAGUGUAAUCAGAGGUAUUAACACAGGUAGAGUGGGAUGUGCACAGGAGCCAUCUGGCAGAGCUGAUGGUAGAGAGCUGGCUUGUCCCCAUGGAUGAGAUAAUAUUUGGUUAGCCGUGUACGUACUCUGUUGCUCACAGCCAGCUUCUCUGAAAGGACCAGACCUCAGGGGCUCUUAAAAAGUUAAGGAAAAAAAGGAAAAAUAUAAUAGUUUUAUACAUCACCCAGAUGCGGGCUGGAAGGAGGAGUUUUCCUGCAUGAGAAUUCUUGGGGAUCCAAAUAGUCUCUUCUCUUGCUGAGACAGAACAUGAAACACACCAGAAUUGCUCCCUAACUCUAAUACAAUGGGGAAAUUCAAGUUGAGGUCAACAGAAUCUUGAUUUCUAACCUUACAUUGUUCUAGUUUUGAGGCUUUAUAAGCAUUUAGAAGUAGUAUCUUAGAAGCUGACAUUAGAAUUUUUAAUUGAAUCAAAAAAUUUCCUGUACAAAAUUAUGAACUACUUACAUAUUCCAGCCACUUUGAAGUGCAGACCUUUCCCUGUAAGAACAAACUGACCUUUUCUGACCAGAAGCACAUUCCGAUAAGUUGGCUUUUCUUAUUUAAAAUAACCUAACCAAAAAAAAAAAAAAAACAAAAAACCAGUCCCCCAAUUCUCUGCUGGGUCCAAACCUUGGAGAUCAGUUCCCAGAAGAGAAGAUGUUAUAAAAAACAGUCCAAGUGUGAUGUGUCAACACUGAAAAUUAUAUUUUUAUCUGAGAGACCUUUGCUGUUCCAGGGAGCCUAAUCUCAGAUGUGCUGGCACAGCACAGUUGGAAGUGUUGUACCAGGCUGGGCUGUGGGGUGCAUCCGUAUCUGGACCUGUGUCCUGAUGGACUGUAGGAGGAAAAGGUUCUGAGAUUACUGAUCACUGGGAAAUUUAUCCAAGUAACUUCCUUCCUACUGUUAUCUGACAAACUUGUCUAAAAUCCCUUGUACCUACCUGUAUUCAGUUGACAGCAGGUGGGAUUCUUAAAGGCUGCUCUGAAAUUCCUGCUUACAGCCAGAAAUACCGUUAAAACUUGAUGAUUCCUUCCCUCGCUGUGCCACAAAGAGAUCAGCUGCUAUGUCUAGUGUGAGGUGCAAUUUCAGCAUCUUGGAAAGGAAACUGCAGCUGGAAGUGUUGCUCUGAGCUGCUCUUCAGAAGAUGAAGGUGGAGAGGACCAUAGUUGAGUGUGCAGCAGAGGAGCAUCAGGUAGGAUAUGUCUACAGCCGAGGAUGAGCUGCUGAACAUCCAGGAGGUGAGCUAGCAGAGCCCUUGGACUGCAAAAUACAAGGGCCACCUUUCCAGAAUGUGCUGAAGGGGAUGUGCUCCGAUCCUGAAUUUGAAAGUGAGAAGAGAAACCCCAAUUAUUUCAGAGGAAUGCAGGGCAGAAGGGGAGUCACAGGAGGAGGAUGGUGCUAUCUCAGUUUUUAUGUUCCUUAUCAGAUGUCACCAGCUCCUGUUCCAGCCCAGGGCUGUGGCCAUGGGUCCUCCAUGAGGCCUAGAACUCAGUGGUGCAUCAAGGGAUGUUUUGGAAAACAUUCCUGGCUGCAGUGGAUUCCCCAGCAAAAGUUUCUUCUGGUGGCCUACAUGGAAAUACUGACGGCAUUGUGACACCUGGCAAUGCAUGGAGAAGGAGGAGGAGGUGCCUCAUCGAGUGCUAUCCAAAAGGCACAGGGAAAAUUAGACCAAAGUGACCCCCAUCACCCCUAAAACACAAAGGUGGGGGACAGAACUGUAGAUUGGGUGUUACUGGUGUCCAUUUCUUGCCCUGCAUUCUGCGGGGGUGAAAUGCUCCCUUUGAAGUUGAAGGUGUUUCUAAGGGCAGUGAAGGGAGUCCAGAAGAGCGGGGGGUUUGGUAAGUCUGUCCCUUUAUUGGAUGUAACAGCUCCCACAACUUCUCCUCUCCAUCCAAAAUCAAACUGAAAUGCACAAAUGAAAUUUAAACCUCCUUUAACAAUGUUCACUGCAAGUGGUCCUAAUUAAAGUUCCCUAAAUGGCUGUAAUUAGCUACCAGCUGAUGUAAUAUUUACUCCAGGAUUUUUUCUUUAAAAAAACCCCACAACCUAACACAGACACAAAA